rnacentral:rRNA from 1 species
AGUGAACGCUGGCGGUAGGCCUAACACAUGCAAGUCGAACGGCAGCACAGUAAGAGCUUGCUCUUACGGGUGGCGAGUGGCGGACGGGUGAGGAAUACAUCGGAAUCUACUUUUUCGUGGGGGAUAACGUAGGGAAACUUACGCUAAUACCGCAUAAGACCUACGGGUGAAAGCAGGGGAUCUUCGGACCUUGCGCGAUUGAAUGAGCCGAUGUCGGAUUAGCUAGUUGGCGGGGUAAAGGCCCACCAAGGCGACGAUCCGUAGCUGGUCUGAGAGGAUGAUCAGCCACACUGGAACUGAGACACGGUCCAGACUCCUACGGGAGGCAGCAGUGGGGAAUAUUGGACAAUGGGCGCAAGCCUGAUCCAGCCAUACCGCGUGGGUGAAGAAGGCCUUCGGGUUGUAAAGCCCUUUUGUUGGGAAAGAAAAGCAGCAGGUUAAUACCCCGCUGUUCUGACGGUACCCAAAGAAUAAGCACCGGCUAACUUCGUA